rnacentral:rRNA from 1 species
AAUCAACGCUGGCGGCGUGCCUCAGACAUGCAAGUCGAACGAUUAAAGCUCUCUUCGGAGAGUGUAUAGAGUGGCGCACGGGUGAGUAACACGUAAGUAAUCUACCUUUGAGUGGGGAAUAACAAUCGGAAACGAUUGCUAAUACCGCAUAAUGCAGCGGCAUCGCAAGAUGACAGUUGUUAAAGGAGCAAUCCGCUUAAAGAGGAGCUUGCGGCAGAUUAGCUAGUUGGUAAGGUAAUGGCUUACCAAGGCUACGAUCUGUAACCGGUCUAAGAGGACGGUCGGUCACACUGACACUGAAUGACGGGUCAGACUCCUACGGGAGGCAGCAGUCGGGAAUUUUGGGUCGAAU